rnacentral:rRNA from 1 species
UACGAAGGGGGCUAGCGUUGCUCGGAAUCACUGGGCGUAAAGCGCACGUAGGCGGAUUUUUAAGUCAGGGGUGAAAUCCUGGAGCUCAACUCCAGAACUGCCCUUGAUACUGGGAAUCUCGAGUCCGGGAGAGGUGAGUGGAAUUGCGAGUGUAGAGGUGAAAUUCGUAGAUAUUCGCAAGAACACCAGUGGCGAAGGCGGCUCACUGGCCCGGUACUGACGCUGAGGUGCGAAAGCGUGGGGAGCAAACAGG